rnacentral:rRNA from 1 species
AGUGAACGCUGGCGGUAGGCCUAACACAUGCAAGUCGAACGGCAGCACAGUAAGAGCUUGCUCUUACGGGUGGCGAGUGGCGGACGGGUGAGGAAUACAUCGGAAUCUACUUUUUCGUGGGGGAUAACGUAGGGAAACUUACGCUAAUACCGCAUACGACCUACGGGUGAAAGCAGGGGAUCUUCGGACCUUGCGCGAUUGAAUGAGCCGAUGCCGGAUUAGCUAGUUGGCGGGGUAAAGGCCCACCAAGGCGACGAUCCGUAGCUGGUCUGAGAGGAUGAUCAGCCACACUGGAACUGAGACACGGUCCAGACUCCUACGGGAGGCAGCAGUGGGGAAUAUUGGACAAUGGGCGCAAGCCUGAUCCAGCCACACCGCGUGGGUGAAGAAGGCCUUCGGGUUGUAAAGCCCUUUUGUUGGGAAAGAAAAGCAGCAGGUUAAUACCCCGCUGUUCUGACGGUACCCAAAGAAUAAGCACCGGCUAACUUCGUG